CAGGGAGACAAAACUGAUCUUGAUGUCUGAGUAAAAAUUCUUAGACCAAGAUCCUGUCACCUUAGGUCGAUCGGUACCUCAGAUUUUUGAAAGAAAGCAGAUUUUUCUUGAUUUCUUUGAUUGAUUUCAGUUCCUAAACUUGUCUAGGUCACACCCAACAAGGGUACUCCUGGGCCAUUAGCUCAGGUGGUUAGAGCGCACCCCUGAUAAGGGUGAGGUCCCUGGUUCAAGUCCAGGAUGGCCCAUUCGGUGUUGGGGGUAUAGCUCAGUUGGUAGAGCGCCUGCUUUGCAAGCAGGAUGUCAGCGGUUCGAGUCCGCUUACCUCCACUGAUCAACCUCCUGCUAUCGAACUAGAGGGAGAUUGGCUUUGUUGGCUGUGAUUUAGAGUUGAUAUUGAUGAACCUAGCUUCUUAUCAUCUUGGCUAAAUUUGAUUCUUUAAAUAAGGUUGGUUUGAUAUGACGCUGGGCUCUCUGUAAUUACUUAAUUACAGAAGUGUUCAGUAGAACCUUGAAAACUGCAUAGUAAAGUUUGGAAAAUAAAGCAUCUCAUGGAUGCAUUGUUUUUUAUAUAAAUUAGUAUGAUUUUAUCUGCUUUUUUAAAAGAACAAUGUUUAGAUUCUUGAGUUAGAGCAAAGACUUUGUAAAUUUUAUUUUUAACAAAAUUAAUUUAUAGAGUUUAU
rnacentral:tRNA from 1 species